rnacentral:rRNA from 1 species
UCGGGAAUUUUGGGCAAUGGGCGAAAGCCUGACCCAGCAACGCCGCGUGAGGGAUGAAGUAUUUCGGUAUGUAAACCUCGAAAGAAUGGGAAGAAUAAAUGACGGUACCAUUUAUAAGCUCCGGCUAACUACGUGCCAGCAGCCGCGGUAAUACGUAGGGAGCAAGCGUUGUUCGGAUUUACUGGGCGUAAAGGGCGCGUAGGCGGCGCGGUAAGUCACUUGUGAAAUCUCUGAGCUUAACUCAGAACGGCCAAGUGAUACUGCUGUGCUAGAGUGCGGAAGAGGCAACCGGAAUUCUUGGUGUAGCGGUGAAAUGCGUAGAUAUCAAGAGGAACACCUGAGGCGAAGGCGGGUUGCUGGGCCGGCACUGACGCUGAUGCGCGAAAGCCAGGGGAGCAAACG